AGGUAUGAGAAUGAUCUGGCUGCAAAAUGUUACACUGAUCAUCAGCAUUGGUUGGUUGAUCUGGCUACCUAUGAGGUUAUCCCCUGUCUUCUCUCACUGGUCCAUUUGCAGCCCUCCUAGAGCUGCAUGCCUGUUCAAAGAGCAUGACCUGAUAGAAGAGGACCAUUCUUUGGUCAAUUGUAUAUGAAGAGGUGAGCUGUCCUGCUAAAUACCCUAACAAGUUCUCAAUGAAAUGUUUUAAAGAUGCCAGGGGGUGGGAAACACCUAUAAAGAUCAAAAAUAGUAAUUGCAUCUACUUU
rnacentral:snRNA from 1 species